UGACAUUAGUUUAACGGCCGCGGUAUCCUGACCGUGCAAAGGUAGCAUAAUCAUUUGUUCCUUAAUUAGGGACUUGUAUGAAUGGCUCCACGAGGGUUUAACUGUCUCUUACUUUCAAUCAGUGAAAUUGACCUUCCCGUGAAGAGGCGGGAAUACAAAAAUAAGACGAGAAGACCCUAUGGAGCUUAAAUUAAAGUGUCCAACAAAAUUUAAGUUUACCCCAACAGGGAUAAUAGCAUUUUAACUGGACAACAAAUUUUGGUUGGGGUGACCUCGGAGCAUAACAAAACCUCCGAGCGAUUUUAACUAAGACUUAUCAGUCAAAGUGACUUAACUUAUUGAUCCAAUCAUAUUGAUCAACGGAACAAGUUACCCUAGGGAUAACAGCGCAAUCCUAUUUAAGAGUUCAUAUCGACAAUAGGGUUUACGACCUCGAUGUUGGAUCAGGACACCCAAAUGGUGCAGCAGCUAUUAAAGGUUCGUUUGUUCAACGAUUAAAGU
rnacentral:rRNA from 1 species